AUACUUACCCGGCAGGGGAGAUACCAUGAUCAAGCAGGUCGUUUUCUCAGGAUGAGGCUUGUCAGUUGCACUGCAGAUGUGCUGACCCCUGCAAUUUCCCCAAAUGUGGGAAACUCGACUCCAUAAUUUAUGGUAGUGGAGGACUGCAUUUCCCCUUUCCCCGG